UACGAGGGGGGCGAGCGUUGUUCGGAAUUAUUGGGCGUAAAGGGUGCGUAGGCGGCCUGACAAGUCUGAUGUGAAAUCCCUGGGCUCAACCCAGGGCCUGCAUCGGAAACUGUCGGGCUUGAGUAUGGGAGAGGUGAGUGGAAUUUCCGGUGUAGCGGUGAAAUGCGUAGAUAUCGGAAAGAACACCUGUGGCGAAAGCGGCUCACUGGACCAUUACUGACGCUGAGGCACGAAAGCUAGGGGAGCAAACAGG
rnacentral:rRNA from 1 species